GUUCAGAGGUCGUUCACCAGAGAAGAUUUUAAAUUGUUCUGGUUAAAUUGACUGUUACGAUUGAUCAGAAUAGGAUAAAUGUUACCUUUUAAUAAAGAAGGAAUUAAGUCUUUUUUCAUUUAACUAUAUAUGUAUUUUUCAAUUGAUUAAAAUUAAAACCUAACACUGUGCCAGCUUCUAGCUUUUCUUGCCACUGUGUAGAAUAAACCUGAUGACACAGACAUCUAGAAAACUUAAAAACCAACGAAACACAUCCAAAGUUUGAGGGCUGUGGGAAAAAUCAACCGACUGAGCUUAAAAAAACAAAACAUCUGCAAACCUGUGUGGUUAUUAGAGUGAACACAGCAGUCGCGGGCGAUCGUGGCUCAAGAGUUGGGAGUUCGUCUUGUAAUCGGAAGGUUGCUGGUUCGAGCCCCGGCUCUGACAGUCUCGGUCGUUGUGUCCUUGGGCAAGACACUUCACCCGUUGCCUACUGGUGGUGGUCAGAGGGCCCGGUGGCGCCAGUGUCCGGCAGCCUCGCCUCUGUCAGUGCGCCCCAGGGCAGCAGUGGCUACAAUGCAGCUUGCCAUCACCAGUGUGUGUGAAUGGGUGAAAGGGUGAAUUACUGAAUGUAAUUACGGACUAAGUAAAGUGCUAUACAAAUACAGGCCAUUUACCAUAUCAUGAAUGUUAACAGAGGGAGAAUUUUGCUGAAGCACACUGAUCACUACAGUCACAGCUUGUUAUGUGUGCCUAUGCCAAGAGGCACACAUAUUACUAUUCGUCGGAUUUAUUAUUAUAUUAUUAUUGUGUGGAUGCUGGAGGCAUCCACACUAUUGAGUUCCUGUUUCUCUUUAUUCUUUAUUAUUAUUAUUGUGUGGAUGCUGGAGGCAUCCACACUAUUGAGUUCCUGUUUCUCUUUAUUCUUUAUUGUGUGGAUGCUUUAAGGCAUCCACACUAUUGUUUUCCUGUUUCUCUUUAUUGUGUGGAUGCCCUUACAGCCAUCAUUUUACCCUCAAAACGAGCCAUCGUUCUUCUCUUUCCAACAGCGUGUCUUUCAAAGCUCAGAGAUGUAAACCUUUAAACUGUGUGGAUCCAAGUGGAGGGAUCACAUUUUAGUCAUUCAGUGAUUCAAAGAAUAUGAACUUUUAAUAUUCAUUCAGAUGUUUUCUGACUCUAAAUUUUCUUUUCUCAUUCUUAGGUUUUCUAAUUUACAUUUAAAACUUUUCAGCUAUUUUCCAACUUCUUCUGUGUGUCAGCUUUUAGCAGUUCAGCACUUUUGUUUUCAGGUGCAAAUUUCUGUAUUUUUCAUCUCAUUCAACAUUUUUAACUUAAAAUUCAGCAAUUAAUUCUUUCAGUGCAUAUAUUCAGAUUCAAGCAUUCACACUGCAGUUUCUUCAGAAAAUGCACUUUCUAGUUAUUAUUAUAUUUAUUAUAUAUUCCGUACGUUUUUUGUAUCUAUCUCCUUCAAAACCGUUCAACUUAGAAAAACCAUUCAAACACCGUUAGAUUCCUCUUCUUUGGACAUGACUGCUUCUAUUUUUCUCAUUUUAACAUUUAUAUUUUUAAUUUAUUCAACUUUUUUCAACAAAAAUUUCCCAUGUAUUUCAAUGGGGAGACCCUUCAAAUCCUCAUUCAACUUACUCAUUUUAAACUGUAUCUACUUCACAUACGUUGACAUAGAGCCACCAUUCAAACUUUAAAACGAAGACAAGACAUUCAACUAUUCAACUUGUAUUUAUCUUUUCAAUAUCUGUUAUACUUUUUCUUCAGUUCCAGUUUAAGUUUCAUGAUGUUUUUUCAGCCGUUUCAGAGUUUAUAAUGGGUGUGUAUGGGACGGAAUGUUGGGCUAGAGUGAGACAGCUCAACUGCUAGAGUGAGAGGAGCAAAAAAUUAAUCUUAAAAUUUUUUAAAACUGCUGCUGUGUCCACGGUUUGUCUACAGGUAUGAUUUUACCCUCAAAACGUAGCCAUCGCUGUCCUCUUUCAUCCAAUGUGUUUACUAUUGUACUAGGUGUUAUGGUUCUUUCAUAAAUGUCAC
rnacentral:lncRNA from 1 species